rnacentral:lncRNA from 1 species
CCUAGUACACAUAAAUGAUGAGUUAAUUAAUAGAAAAAGAAAAAGAGAAAGAAAAGAAAAGAUUUAGAGAAUGGAGGAGUUGAAUCAAUUAAAGUUCUCUAUAUUAUAAUUGGCACGUAGAUUAUAGCCCUUGAUACAAGACUAAAUGUAUUGUAAAUGCAUGUCACAGUUGGGCAAGAAGCUAGGGAACAAGAGGAAGAAGUUCCCCACUGCCUGCUGUAGAUUUUUGGAGGCGUAUCAGGGCUGUACCGGAUUGACAAGUGAGUGGGAGUCAUGUACUUUGCACCAUGAGCAUCCUUAAUUCAUUUUCAUGAAUACCGCCAAGUGUGAAUUAAUUCCACUUGUGCAUAUUGAUUGAUAUUGUAGUAGAUUCCUCUAUAAUCUUGUUUCUCCAUACUUGAUUAUACUCUUUUAUGAGUAGUUAAAUUGGAUUUGAAUUGUGAAAUGAUUU